rnacentral:rRNA from 1 species
AGCAGCCGCGGUAAUUCCAGCUCCAAUAGCGUAUAUUAAAGUUGUUGCAGUUAAAAAGCUCGUAGUUGAAUUUCGGGAUCAAUAUGUUGGUCGUGCCUUGGUACGUACUGGCGUCAUUGAUUUCUACCUUCUGAAGAACCUCGAUGUCAUUAAUUUGGUGUCUUGGGGAAUCAGGACUGUUACUUUGAAAAAAUUAGAGUGUUUAAAGCAAGCUAACGCUUGAAUACAUUAGCAUGGAAUAAUGAAAUAGGACGUUCGAUCCUAUUUUGUUGGUUUCUAGGAUUGACGUAAUGAUUAAUAGGGAUAGUUGGGGGCAUUAGUAUUCAAUUGUCAGAGGUGAAAUUCUUGGAUUUAUUGAAGACUAACUACUGCGAAAGCAUUUGCCAAGGAUGUUUUCAUUAAUCAAGAACGAAAGUUAGGGGAUCGAAGACGAUCAGAUACCGUCGUAGUCUUAACCAUAAACUAUGCCGACUAGGGAUCGGAUGAUGUUAAUUUUUUAAUGACUCAUUCGGCGCCUUACG